GGAAACUUGAAAACUACCGUUGGAUCGAGAAAUGGACGUCCGAGAUUCGUCCACGGUGACGUGAGUUAAAAUUUAACUCGUAGAUUCACUCAUAAGUUAAAAUUUUACUAGGAGUUAAAUUUUAAUUCACAGUGACGUGGACGAAUCUCGCGUCCAUUUCUCGAUCCAACGGUAGUUUCCAAGUUUCC
rnacentral:pre_miRNA from 1 species